UUUAUGGAGAGUUUGAUCCUGGCUCAGGAUGAACGCUGGCGGCGUGCCUAAUACAUGCAAGUCGAGCGAACGGACGAGAAGCUUGCUUCUCUGAUGUUAGCGGCGGACGGGUGAGUAACACGUGGAUAACCUACCUAUAAGACUGGGAUAACUUCGGGAAACCGGAGCUAAUACCGGAUAAUAUUUUGAACCGCAUGGUUCAAAAGUGAAAGACGGUCUUGCUGUCACUUAUAGAUGGAUCCGCGCUGCAUUAGCUAGUUGGUAAGGUAACGGCUUACCAAGGCAACGAUGCAUAGCCGACCUGAGAGGGUGAUCGGCCACACUGGAACUGAGACACGGUCCAGACUCCUACGGGAGGCAGCAGUAGGGAAUCUUCCGCAAUGGGCGAAAGCCUGACGGAGCAACGCCGCGUGAGUGAUGAAGGUCUUCGGAUCGUAAAACUCUGUUAUUAGGGAAGAACAUAUGUGUAAGUAACUGUGCACAUCUUGACGGUACCUAAUCAGAAAGCCACGGCUAACUACGUGCCAGCAGCCGCGGUAAUACGUAGGUGGCAAGCGUUAUCCGGAAUUAUUGGGCGUAAAGCGCGCGUAGGCGGUUUUUUAAGUCUGAUGUGAAAGCCCACGGCUCAACCGUGGAGGGUCAUUGGAAACUGGAAAACUUGAGUGCAGAAGAGGAAAGUGGAAUUCCAUGUGUAGCGGUGAAAUGCGCAGAGAUAUGGAGGAACACCAG
rnacentral:rRNA from 1 species